UCUAAGGUUGGUGUUAGAUGAGGCUCAUCAAUGUUAAUCCCAAGUUUAGUUUAGAUCAUGCUUCUAUCAGUGUCCCUGUGCCAUCAACCACCAGCACAAUUGGCAUCCCCCACUCCAGUGGAUCGGUGGAUGAAGUCGUAUAUAUGGAGGGGGAGGGUUCAAAGAUGAUGUCUUGACCAAGGCCACCUCCACCACCUUUUAGGGUCUCCGUCGUGGCCUCGCAGCCAUGAGAUGAGAACACUCAUUCAGAAGAAAGAGAAGGGAGGAGAGAAGAUAGUGAUGGAGGAGAUGGUGAACAAGAGGGAGGAGGAGGAUGAUGUGGUGCUUCCCGGAUUCCGAUUCCACCCCACGGAUGAAGAGCUCGUCGGGUUUUAUCUCCGCCGGAAGGUGGAGAAGAAGACUCCCAGCAUCGAUAUCAUCAAAGAGAUGGAUAUCUACAAGCAUGAUCCAUGGGAUCUACCAAGAGUCGUCACUGCCGGAGACGAGUCGUCCUACUUCUUCUGCCGUCGAGGGAGGAAGUACAGGAACAGCAUAAGGCCGAACCGGGUGACCGGGUCCGGUUUCUGGAAGGCCACCGGCAUCGAUAAGCCGAUCAACUCCUCAGGCGACUGCGUCGGCCUGAAGAAGUCGCUGGUGUACUACCGAGGGAGCGCCGGGAAGGGAACCAAGACAGACUGGAUGAUGCACGAGUUCCGCCUCCCCUCCGGUGACAGCAGCAUCGCCGACGACACCAGAAGCACGCAGGAAGCUGAGAUCUGGACCAUCUGCCGAAUCUUCAAGAGGAGCGCCUCCUACAGAAAGCAAUCGAGCAAAUGGAAGGCAUCAUCAACCCACAAGCGAGCUCCAGCUGACUCCAGCUGCGUAACCAGCAGCUUCGAUUGCGACAACGGAAGCGACUACAGGUGCUGCGCCUCCUCAGGCUACUCUUGCUCUCAGGAGCACAACCAGGUGCAUGGAUGGCAGUGCAACUCGAUCAGCCAACCUCCAUCGCUGUACUCCAACGUGGUUCAGAGUCCAAGCACGAAUGAGUUCUUCAGAGAUGGCGACUGCUGGGACGAGCUUGGAAGGAUGAUGGAGUUCAUGGCAGACCAAAGCGUCCCUAUGAGUGUGGAUACAGUUAGAGGGAUGUAUCAUGAUGCAUAGUAACGCCAACAACUAGAUAGAAUAAGGGAAUAAGAAACGGGAAGCCCGUCAGUGAUAUGACUGCUUCAUGCUUACACUUACCUUCGAUGUCCCAAACAAUAUGGACGGAAUAAAUUGGAAUGGUUGCUCGGUA